rnacentral:rRNA from 1 species
GACGAACGCUGGCGGCGUGCUUAACACAUGCAAGUCGAACGCUGAAGCUCAGCUUGCUGGGUGGAUGAGUGGCGAACGGGUGAGUAACACGUGAGUAACCUGCCCUCUUCUUUGGGAUAACGCCCGGAAACGGGUGCUAAUACUGGAUAUUCACUGAUUCUCGCAUGGGGGUUGGUGGAAAGGUUUUUUCUGGUGGGGGAUGGGCUCGCGGCCUAUCAGCUUGUUGGUGGGGUGAUGGCCUACCAAGGCUUUGACGGGUAGCCGGCCUGAGAGGGUGACCGGUCACAUUGGGACUGAGAUACGGCCCAGACUCCUACGGGAGGCAGCAGUGGGGGAUAUUGCACGAUGGGCGAAAGCCUGAUGCAGCGGCGCCGCGUGAGGGAUGGAGGCCUUCGGGUUGUAAACCUCUUUCGCUCAUGGUCAAGCCGCAGCUUUGGGUUGUGGUGAGGGUAGUGGGUAAAGAAGCGCCGGCUAACUACGUG